rnacentral:misc_RNA from 1 species
GUGGAUGUAUCAGUUGGUCCCUAUAUUAGAGUUGAAUUAGAUGUCUGCAAACCCUUAAUUGAGAGUUUUACGAAUAAAAAACAAGAUGGGAAGGUGGAAAGAGUCCAAUUCCGGUACAAACAUGUGCCGGACGUUUGCUGCAUGUUUGGGAUAAUUGGUCAUCAAAUCCAAACAUGUACCAACAUAGCAGCUAUGACUGCCUCGGAGAAUAAAGGGAGGAGACAAGAGUACGAGCCUUAGAUGAGGGCUGAGAUAUGGGUCUCUGAGCCGAAGACUGAAAGGAAGAACACUCCGUCUGGAUUUUCUGAUAAAGCUACUAUUAAUCGGAAUGCCUCUUUGGUGGCGCGUCUGCCUCACACUUUCAAAAAUGAGGGUUCAUCCAGUGGUGUUUCAAAUGAAGGGAUCAUAGUACAACAAAUGGCAAUUCUUCUAGUAUGUUAGGCUUUAG